rnacentral:rRNA from 1 species
GGUCAAGCUACUAAGAGCGUAGAGUGGAUGCCUUGGCACCGAGAGCCGAUGAAGGACGUGAUAAGCUGCGAAAAGCUACGGGGAGUUGCAAAUAAACU